GAAAUCGCAGCCAUACGUGCCUCGCACCGGAGCUGAACUAUAUCUAUGAGAAAAAGGCUAUACAUUGAAGUGCUCCUCCUACAAGCCUGGUGAAGAUCAUCUGUCAGCUAUUAGUUAAUCAAGACUGGGCAGGAGAGCGGAGGACUGGCAACGCGUGGGACAGGGUGCACGGGACAGGUCUGGCUUUGAGCAAGACGAGAGGGCACAAGCGCAGGAUCCUAGCUGCUUCGUCACAGCCCAAAGCACUUUAAUCAACACCAAGCACUCAGGACUGACAGGCGGCAACCUCAGCAUGACCCCUCCCUCCACUAACAGAGGCUGAAUUGUCACUCCCUCAUUGGUUGGUGCUGGAACAGAGGUAAGCAGCACGUUUAUCAGGAUCACAGUGUUCUAAUAUUUCCUCAAACAGGACAUGAGUCAGUGUGGCAGAGACUGAACAUCCAGGUUUUCAGAAGCACAAGUCAAAACACCAUGAGCGGGUAAGAACAACAUCAAGGGGCAAAAGUUUGAUGGUCUAGAAAAGUCAUUACUUGCAUAUUCACCUUGUUAAAAUUGAAUGGAGCUGUACCCUAUAUUAUUUGUAUUAGAAUGUACUGUUAUUCCUGCCCCUUUAGUCCUUUCUCUCACUCAAAUGCUGAACCAUGACAGAGAAACAGAAUUCGGGGAUAGUCCAUGCUUUAUACAACUGUCAAUUUUAGCUAAUUAUGUCCUCUCUUCCACAAACAGGAGCUUUUACAACAUUGUAGUGUAAUAUUGUAUACUUUAUUUAAUACACUGGUUUUACACUUGAUGCCCUUGCUGACAACCCAUUUCUCUGUUUAAGCAGGCUUAGGACUGGCCCAAAGAUUUCAAAGGCUUGUAGUCCCAUGCUCUCCGGCUCCAUUUCACUCCAUCACUUCGAUAACAAUGACAAGUCCAAAUAGCAGUGGGCCCCAGUGAGUCUGUGUAGGUCACAUUAUGAAUCUCCAUUUAAGCCUAAGACGCGACUCCACAGGCACUCAGUAAAACUGCACUGACAGAGCUGAGGCAAAGCAGACGCCAGCGCCAAUGUCAGAGAAUACAGCUGUGUUCAGUAUCAGCGCAUGGACCUGGGCUAGACCAAGCUAAACGUUUCCAGGCUUUCACGCCCUGUCUUCUCUCAUUUAGUCCUGCAGCAUCUCUUUGCAGCCCCAUCUCCAGCUAAACAACAAUCAGGAUAUAGCAGGCUGUUUAAAAGGGCCCAUAUUACUUUGUAUUCUGAUCUAUGUUAUAAUGUUGUUUCUUCAUCGCAAGCAUACCUAGAGUUGUGUUUUGUUUCAUUUAACACACAAACCCUGUAUCUUUAGGCAGAGUUGUUCUCCCUCACUGAAAACACUCUGAUUCCUGAAGUUCUCCACUAUGUUUUUAAACUCCAUCCACUUUCACUAGAAUCAUUUGGAUAAUUUCAGCUCUGGAAUUGCAAAUCUCUACCAAGAUAAAGGUUAAAGGGAGCUGCUAACUUGAAAACUAUUGCUUCAUUACAUCACAAAGUGAAACAGAGCAUUUUGAGCUUUGAAGAUGUAGACAGACUAAUAAUAAAGAAACAUGGCUGAACAUAACUCCAGGUAUGUUUUGAAGGAGGUAAAAACAUUAUAACAUGGCUUUAAGCUCAAAAGAGUCAGCAUAAUACAGGACCUUUAACUUAUCCCAGUUAAACGUUAUGAGUUUAAGAUAGUUGGGGUUAUGAAGGUACACAUAAUUGACAACACUGUGGAAAAGAGCAAGAAAGGUUAAAAAAAAAGAAAAGAAAGAUAAGAUAGAUAAAAAGAAAGAUAAAUUUCAUUUGCUAGUUUAAUAUUUAUUUAUUUAUUUCUGUUAUAGUCAUGGAGAAUUAUAACCAUUUCCAAUUACAACUCUGUUUUAAAAGGCCGGCAAUGUUCCCUGGGUAAAAAGUGCCCUUUAUCCUCCCAGUGCCAUUCCCUAGGCACUAUGUAACACUUCUGGUGGAGGGUCCGUCACCAGCUUGUCAUAUUUGGUUGGAAUCUUCCAUAGUAUAGUAUUAAAUAAAUUAAAUAUUUAGCAUUUAUCAAAUUCCAGGUUGCAUUGCUCAAAAUACCACAUGAAUAGGGCACCUUUAAGACUGAGGAUUGAUUUUCAUUUGGAAUUGAAAGCUCUUGACAUUUCUGGUCCAAUAUUAAUACACCCAUUGUUGCCUGGCAGGGGUGGCAGGGUUUCAAUAAUCACAUCACAUCUUACAACAUGUGCUUGUCUUCUCCCUGAUCGUUAAUUGUUUGCCUUAAGCUGGACUUUUUACCCAGCAAAUCAUCAACUUUGCUUUCUAUUAAAGGCUCAAAUGAAACACUAUCUUCAGCCUCAGAUUUAAACCAAAGUCAUGGCCAGAUUCAUGUUUGGGGGAACCACAGUGACAUAUGGGCAGCAUCAAGAAACACAUGUGCCAGGCCAAACCACCGCAAGUGACCCCGGGGUGACAGGGCUGCCCCAGGCCCAAGUCAAGUAUGUCAAAGUGGGGCAUGUGGGUUUCAUUUAGAGCCUGAUUGGUCCACAGACGCAUUACUGCACCCCCCAUCCUGUCACCCCCUACCCGCCGCAUGGGAAACCCACUCCCAACAGGAAAUGGUAUGUUUUACUUAGCUACAAACAAGCAUAAAUUCUUAUAAUGGAGCCCUAAUUUAUCACACACAGUCCUGUUGUUGAUAUUUAAAAUGUGUUUUUGAGGAAGUUACCAUUAGUUAAUGAUAUUUGUAUUCCUAAUGAUAUGUUUUGUUAUCAUGUCUGUGCUCUUUAUGGUGUAGUAUAUGUCAAAUAAAUGUGGGCUUUGUCUUGUGUCAUUUCUUUUCAAUGUUGCCAAAAUAAUAAAAAAUAAAUAAAAAAAUAAAAUAAAAUCUGAAUCUUUUGCUAGGAUAAACACAUUUUUUCAAAGUAAUCAAACAAUGGGAGGAAUCAAUUUUUUCUUUUUGUCAAACACAUUUUUACAAUAUACAUAAUGGAUAAUACAGUAUGAUUAGGUGGUUGAAGUGGUUUGGGAAAAGAUACAAUUGGAUGAGUCCAUUGCAUAAGGUAAGGUCUGUCAAACUAUGAGACAAUGUUAUGUAACUAAGAUUAAGAGAUUUCUUAAGCCU